GUCGAACGCUGAAGCCCUUCGGGGUGGAUGAGUGGCGAACGGGUGAGUAACACGUGGGUAAUCUGCCCUGUACUCGGGGAUAAGCCUUGGAAACGAGGUCUAAUACCGGAUAGGACAUCUGGCCGCAUGGUCUGGGUGUGGAAAGUUCCGGCGGUAUGGGAUGAGCCCGCGGCCUAUCAGCUGGAUGGUGGGGUAAUGGCCUGCCAUGGCGACGACGGGUAGCCGGCCUGAGAGGGUGAUCGGCCACACUGGGACUGAGACACGGCCCAGACUCCUACGGGAGGCAGCAGUGGGGAAUCUUGCGCAAUGGGCGAAAGCCUGACGCAGCAACGCCGCGUGAGGGAGGACGGCCUUCGGGUUGUAAACCUCUUUCGACACCGACGAAGGCCCCGUGUGGGUGUGACGGUAGGUGUAGAAGAAGCACCGGCUAACUACGUGCCAGCAGCCGCGGUAAUACGUAGGGUGCGAGCGUUGUCCGGAUUUAUUGGGCGUAAAGAGCUCGUAGGCGGUUUGUCGCGUCGGCCGUGGAAACCUGCCGCUUAACGGUGGGCGUGCGGUCGAUACGGGCAAACUUGAGUUCGGUAGGGGAGACUGGAAUUCCUGGUGUAGCGGUGAAAUGCGCAG
rnacentral:rRNA from 1 species